GUAGGUGAACCUGCGGAAGGAUCAUUAUAGUAAUUAAGUUUCGGCUUAGUUGUUGCAAAAACGAACAACUUUUAACAAUGGAUCUCUUGGCUCUU
rnacentral:misc_RNA from 1 species